GGCUCAUUUUUAUUUUUAUUUUCUAACUGUGGAGUGCUACCUUAUGGCACAUCAGAAAGCACAGAAAUGCACUUUUUAAGAUAAAUUUCUCCACAAAUCUUAAGUCUUUUAUGUUCUUGUUUUAGUUCUGAUGGUAAAAACUCUUCUAGGAUUGCAAUUCAUGAUUAUUUUAUUGUUUACUGUCCUUAGCAACCAAAUAUAC
rnacentral:lncRNA from 1 species